rnacentral:rRNA from 1 species
CCUACGGGUGGCAGCAGUCGAGAAUCAUUCACAAUGGGGGAAACCCUGAUGGUGCGACGCCGCGUGGGGGAAUGAAGGUCUUCGGAUUGUAAACCCCUGUCAUGUGGGAGCAAAUUAAAAAGAUAGUACCACAAGAGGAAGAGACGGCUAACUCUGUGCCAGCAGCCGCGGUAAUACAGAGGUCUCAAGCGUUGUUCGGAAUCACUGGGCGUAAAGCGUGCGUAGGCUGUUUCGUAAGUCGUGUGUGAAAGGCGCGGGCUCAACCCGCGGACGGCACAUGAUACUGCGAGACUAGAGUAAUGGAGGGGGAACCGGAAUUCUCGGUGUAGCAGUGAAAUGCGUAGAUAUCGAGAGGAACACUCGUGGCGAAGGCGGGUUCCUGGACAUUAACUGACGCUGAGGCACGAAGGCCAGGGGAGCGAGAGGGACUAGAUACCCUGGUAGUC